CAGAGUGUAGUUUAAUUAAAGAAAAUUUAAGCUUUGGGAGCUUAGGAACGAGGCUUAACUCCUUGCACUUUGA
rnacentral:tRNA from 1 species